ensembl:lncRNA
CUUAAUAGUUUUUCUCCACUCAGGAAACCUCAAAGUGCAAAUGAACAAAUGUGGAAAUUACCUUUGUUGGAAGGUUGUUCGGCAAAAUAAUUGAAUGGCUUUUCAGCUUUUCCUGGUAUGGUUUUUCUGAAGCCGCUUUGUUGAGAUUUUUUUUGCCUAAUUUCCCACAUGGUGGAAUGAAACUUGUCUUCACCAGCAUGGAUAUGUAAACUUUUUCAAGAUGGUUAAGAACUGUGGCGAAGAACCAAGUGGAAAGACAAGAGGAAGCAGCCACUUGUACUGACAUCUGAUUUGUGUAUUAGAAAGUAUGGUUUCCUGACAGAAGAGUGCAUUAUAGUUUUUAACAGCAAAUCUUUAUUAAAUGUGCCAUCAAUGGUGGUUUUGGAAAGAUGAGAAAGGAUCCACUGUGGGGCAACUCAGUGAAGCUAAAGAUGUCUGCAACUUCUAUUCAGUCUAUCCCAGUUAGGAGAGCUUUUUUUGUGAUUUUUAAGCUUGGUGCUGUCAGCCCCGUGUGAACAAACCAGAACA